rnacentral:rRNA from 1 species
CACGGAGUUAGCCGAUCCUUAUUCUUACGAUACCGUCAAGCUGAUUCACGAAUCAGUGUUUCUUCUCGUACAAAAGCAGUUUACAAUCCAUAGGACCGUCAUCCUGCACGCGGCAUGGCUGGUUCAGGCUUGCGCCCAUUGACCAAUAUUCCUCACUGCUGCCUCCCGUAGGAGUCUGGUCCGUGUCUCAGUACCAGUGUGGGGGAUCUCCCUCUCAGGACCCCUACCCAUCGUAGCCUUGGUAAGCCGUUACCUUACCAACUAGCUAAUGGGACGCAUGCUCAUCUUUCACCGUUGUGACUUUAAUUACAUCUCGAUGCCGAGUCGUAAUACUAUGAGGUAUUAAUCCAAAUUUCUCUGGGCUAUCCCUCUGUGAAAGGCAGAUUGCAUACGCGUUACGCACCCGUGCGCCGGUCUCAAAGUCCGAAGACUUCUACCCCUCGACUUGCAUGUGUUAAGCCUGCCGCUAGCGUUCAUCCUGAGCCAGG